rnacentral:rRNA from 2 species
GGUUAAGCGACUAAGCGUACACGGUGGAUGCCCUGGCAGUCAGAGGCGAUGAAGGACGUGCUAAUCUGCGAUAAGCGUCGGUAAGGUGAUAUGAACCGUUAUAACCGGCGAUUUCCGAAUGGGGAAACCCAGUGUGUUUCGACACACUAUCAUUAACUGAAUCCAUAGGUUAAUGAGGCGAACCGGGGGAACUGAAACAUCUAAGUACCCCGAGGAAAAGAAAUCAACCGAGAUUCCCCCAGUAGCGGCGAGCGAACGGGGAGCAGCCCAGAGCCUGAAUCAGUGUGUGUGUUAGUGGAAGCGUCUGGAAAGGCGCGCGAUACAGGGUGACAGCCCCGUACACAAAAAUGCACAUACUGUGAGCUCGAUGAGUAGGGCGGGACACGUGGUAUCCUGUCUGAAUAUGGGGGGACCAUCCUCCAAGGCUAAAUACUCCUGACUGACCGAUAGUGAACCAGUACCGUGAGGGAAAGGCGAAAAGAACCCCGGCGAGGGGAGUGAAAAAGAACCUGAAACCGUGUACGUACAAGCAGUGGGAGCACGCUUCGGCGUGUGACUGCGUACCUUUUGUAUAAUGGGUCAGCGACUUAUAUUCUGUAGCAAGGUUAACCGAAUAGGGGAGCCGAAGGGAAACCGAGUCUUAACUGGGCGUUAAGUUGCAGGGUAUAGACCCGAAACCCGGUGAUCUAGCCAUGGGCAGGUUGAAGGUUGGGUAACACUAACUGGAGGACCGAACCGACUAAUGUUGAAAAAUUAGCGGAUGACUUGUGGCUGGGGGUGAAAGGCCAAUCAAACCGGGAGAUAGCUGGUUCUCCCCGAAAGCUAUUUAGGUAGCGCCUCGUGAAUUCAUCUCCGGGGGUAGAGCACUGUUUCGGCAAGGGGGUCAUCCCGACUUACCAACCCGAUGCAAACUGCGAAUACCGGAGAAUGUUAUCACGGGAGACACACGGCGGGUGCUAACGUCCGUCGUGAAGAGGGAAACAACCCAGACCGCCAGCUAAGGUCCCAAAGUCAUGGUUAAGUGGGAAACGAUGUGGGAAGGCCCAGACAGCCAGGAUGUUGGCUUAGAAGCAGCCAUCAUUUAAAGAAAGCGUAAUAGCUCACUGGUCGAGUCGGCCUGCGCGGAAGAUGUAACGGGGCUAAACCAUGCACCGAAGCUGCGGCAGCGACACUAUGUGUUGUUGGGUAGGGGAGCGUUCUGUAAGCCUGUGAAGGUGUACUGUGAGGUAUGCUGGAGGUAUCAGAAGUGCGAAUGCUGACAUAAGUAACGAUAAAGCGGGUGAAAAGCCCGCUCGCCGGAAGACCAAGGGUUCCUGUCCAACGUUAAUCGGGGCAGGGUGAGUCGACCCCUAAGGCGAGGCCGAAAGGCGUAGUCGAUGGGAAACAGGUUAAUAUUCCUGUACUUGGUGUUACUGCGAAGGGGGGACGGAGAAGGCUAUGUUGGCCGGGCGACGGUUGUCCCGGUUUAAGCGUGUAGGCUGGUUUUCCAGGCAAAUCCGGAAAAUCAAGGCUGAGGCGUGAUGACGAGGCACUACGGUGCUGAAGCAACAAAUGCCCUGCUUCCAGGAAAAGCCUCUAAGCAUCAGGUAACAUCAAAUCGUACCCCAAACCGACACAGGUGGUCAGGUAGAGAAUACCAAGGCGCUUGAGAGAACUCGGGUGAAGGAACUAGGCAAAAUGGUGCCGUAACUUCGGGAGAAGGCACGCUGAUAUGUAGGUGAAGUCCCUCGCGGAUGGAGCUGAAAUCAGUCGAAGAUACCAGCUGGCUGCAACUGUUUAUUAAAAACACAGCACUGUGCAAACACGAAAGUGGACGUAUACGGUGUGACGCCUGCCCGGUGCCGGAAGGUUAAUUGAUGGGGUUAGCGGUAACGCGAAGCUCUUGAUCGAAGCCCCGGUAAACGGCGGCCGUAACUAUAACGGUCCUAAGGUAGCGAAAUUCCUUGUCGGGUAAGUUCCGACCUGCACGAAUGGCGUAAUGAUGGCCAGGCUGUCUCCACCCGAGACUCAGUGAAAUUGAACUCGCUGUGAAGAUGCAGUGUACCCGCGGCAAGACGGAAAGACCCCGUGAACCUUUACUAUAGCUUGACACUGAACAUUGAGCCUUGAUGUGUAGGAUAGGUGGGAGGCUUUGAAGUGUGGACGCCAGUCUGCAUGGAGCCGACCUUGAAAUACCACCCUUUAAUGUUUGAUGUUCUAACGUUGACCCGUGAUCCGGGUUGCGGACAGUGUCUGGUGGGUAGUUUGACUGGGGCGGUCUCCUCCUAAAGAGUAACGGAGGAGCACGAAGGUUGGCUAAUCCUGGUCGGACAUCAGGAGGUUAGUGCAAUGGCAUAAGCCAGCUUGACUGCGAGCGUGACGGCGCGAGCAGGUGCGAAAGCAGGUCAUAGUGAUCCGGUGGUUCUGAAUGGAAGGGCCAUCGCUCAACGGAUAAAAGGUACUCCGGGGAUAACAGGCUGAUACCGCCCAAGAGUUCAUAUCGACGGCGGUGUUUGGCACCUCGAUGUCGGCUCAUCACAUCCUGGGGCUGAAGUAGGUCCCAAGGGUAUGGCUGUUCGCCAUUUAAAGUGGUACGCGAGCUGGGUUUAGAACGUCGUGAGACAGUUCGGUCCCUAUCUGCCGUGGGCGCUGGAGAACUGAGGGGGGCUGCUCCUAGUACGAGAGGACCGGAGUGGACGCAUCACUGGUGUUCGGGUUGUCAUGCCAAUGGCACUGCCCGGUAGCUAAAUGCGGAAGAGAUAAGUGCUGAAAGCAUCUAAGCACGAAACUUGCCCCGAGAUGAGUUCUCCCUGACUCCUUGAGAGUCCUGAAGGAACGUUGAAGACGACGACGUUGAUAGGCCGGGUGUGUAAGCGCAGCGAUGCGUUGAGCUAACCGGUACUAAUGAACCGUGAGGCUUAACCUUACAACGCCGAAGAUGUUUUG